GCCACUUUCCUGACAAAGACACAGAGACCAGGAGAGGGGAUGUGGCUUGCUCAGGGGCCACAGCGAGACUUAGAGUUGCAGGGCUCCAGGUCAAGUGGAAUGUCAGCUUUCCAGAGCAGAAGUUUUUGUUUGUUUCUUUGUUUGCUUUUUCAGGUAAUGGAAUACUGACAACUUUGACAAGCUGUCAGUGAUUUCAUUUUACUCUGCGCAACAAUCAAUGCCCAUGGAAGCAGCAGUUAAGAAAUCAAAUGAUGUAUUGCACUGGGAAAAUUGGCUGCAAAAGAUCUCUUUAAAGCUCUAAAAUGCAAAGAUGUUGCAAAAAUGCAAGGACUAAGGUGCACCUGACCCAAGCCAUGUUCUUUUCAACUGCCUUAUAUGCACGCAAAAGCUAGACAACGAAUAAGGAAGACUGAGGAAGAAUUGAUGCCCUUGAAUUACAGUGUUGGCGAAGAUAUUGAACAUCCCAUGGACUGCUAGAAGAGCAAACAAAUCAGUCUUAGAAGAAUAUAAUCAGAAUGCUCCUUAGAAACAAGGAUGGUGAGACUUUAGCUGGCUUACUUUGGAUACGUCAUCAGGAAAGACCAAUUGCUAGAAAAGGACAUCAUUGUUGGUAAAGCAAAGGGUCAGGGAAGGCAAGGAAGGCCCUCAGUGAGACAGAUUGAAGGAGUAGCCAAAACAAUAGACUAAAACAUAGCAACAAUCAUGAAGAUGGUGCAAGACUGGGCAAUGUUUCGUUCUGUUAUACAUAAGGUCUCUAUGAGUGGAAGCCAACUCAACACCAACUAACAAACAACACAACAACAGUGAGAUACUAAAUGUAAGCAAUGGACAGAGGACCUGCUACCAGCCCUGCAGCCCCUAAGUGCUGGGGCCCCUAAGUGCGUAGAUUCCAGCCACCUUAAAAGUCUCGUAAGCAGAGCUAAAAGGCUGAAGGCUCACCUGCACUCUUGUGCCCUGAAAAUCCCAGUGGCUAGCGCAGUAACACUCCCUGAUGGAAGGAGACGAACCUCAGGGCAAAUGCUUUGUGUGAAACAGUAUGCUCACCGCCCAUUGCCGGGGCAGCAGAUGCUGCAGCCUGGUCCCUCAGGACCUCCCCCAAGUUCUAUUUUCUUUUCGAGAAGGAAGCUUCCUGUGCACUUACCACACUGGCGGCAAAGAUGGGGGCCGUUUCUCUAAACAUGAUUCUGAAGUAUUACCUUACUGUACAGAGGAAGCAGCCCAUAAAGCUUCUGAAGUACAGAGCUAUGAUUUGUGGUGGGGCCGGGGGCUCAGGGGGCCUGGAGCACAGCCCUUCUCUGCAGAAAGCCCAGCUGGGUCUCUGCACAGGCUCCAGAGCUGGGCUGAGAAAUCCCCAGCCCUAAAAACCCUCUGACUUUAAUGGAAACUGUCAGAAGGCUUCAAUACCUGGUGCUUGAAAGCUGGGGAACAGAAGUUCUUUAGUUUUUUGUUUUUUUUUGGUUCUGAAGACUCACUGACUAAAGUCCCGCUAAGUCCCAAGCCUGACUGUCUCCUGUUCUUCCAGAAAGCAAGCCUUGCCAACACCUGCAGAAAGAUACCCAGGUGGGCAUCAAUACCCAAGGCCAUGGGGACUGUUGUUUAUUGAUGAGCAGUGUGAACAGUUAAAUGGAUGCCAGACUCAAAGACACAGACACGUAUCAAGAGAAAUGUGGAUACUCCAGGGACAAAUCUGGGGACCAUCAGUGAAACCCAGAUGGGGUGGCACUUUGGAACUGCUUGCCUCUCAAAGACCCACCACUCCAAACAGCCAUGGGCCUCCUCCCUCCACCCCCAUCCUGUCAGGAAGGAACUUUUUUUUUUUUUGGAAAACCACUUCCUGUUUUAAAGCGACUUCAUGAAAGCAGAAUUUCAGCAGGUAAAAUCAACAGCCUCCAUACAAUGAGAAAGGCAACAUGAGUAAUUUUGGACUUUCUUAUGACAAAAAAAUGAAGGACCUCGACAACUAGAACAGUUUCUCAACCACUUUGAAUCUAUUUACCUUCAUUUGAACGUCUUCUAGAACAUGUAAAAAGUGAUAAAUACAAUGUAAUCUUCCGUGCUUUAUGUAUAAUAAGAGCUUCUGUAACGGUACUUAUGCCUUUGAUGUGUUUUCCCCUCAAGACGACCAACCGUGUUUGAUAAGUGAAUAUUAAGUACAUACGUGAUCCGCUGAGAAUAGCUUAAAAAAAAAAUCAGCAAACUCCACGUAGAGCUUGGAGACAAGGGUCACUUUAGUCUUUCUCCUUGAACACACACAAUCACACACACACAUUCACAGACGCACACACGACCAUGUGAAUCCAGGCUAUCUUGGGUAGCCCUGAAAAAAAGCCUAGUGAGUAGCUUAGAAUCCCUGGGUGGUGCAAACAGUUAACACACUCAGCUGCUAACUGAAAGCUUCGAAGUUCAAGCUCACCCAGAGGUACUUCAGAAGAAAAGCCUGGCAAUCUACUUCCGAAAAAUCAGCCACUGAAAACCCUACAGAGUACAUUUCUACUCUGACACACAUGGGGUUGCCAUGAGUUGCAGUCCACUCAAUGGCAACAGGCUUUUUUAGUGAGCAGCCUGAGGAGGGGUGGGAGCAGCCAGAGGAGCGUAAGCAGGCUCCUGGGUAGGCUGUAGGUCUCCCAACUCCAGCAUCGAGCCCACCACAGCCCCUCCUGAGUCUCUGAGAAUGAGCAGUGUGGGGUCCCCAGAAGCCCAGAGCCCACGUUGCCAGCCCCACCCCCGCCCCCACCCUGCCCCCUGCCAGGGGAAGGUUCCAGCAGCUUCAGAGCUUUUCUGGGCUGGGACAGGAAGUGCGACUGAGAAGGGGAACCCUGAGACUGCCGACCGCAGCCAGUCACGGGAAAGCCUGGUGUCCACGCCGAGACACAUCACAAGAAAGAAGAACUGGGACUGGCAGCUAUUUUGGUAGAUUUUCCGAAUAGAUCUGUUACCCUGAUGGUAGCUGCUGUCAGGAUAGGAACAAAAACACCCAUUCAGGGGCAGAGCCCCCGACGUCCACAAUUCGGGGUGUGACCUGGAGACCCGGUUGCCUUCUCUGGUCUUACAGACCCACUCAGUCACAGCCUGGGACUGGCCGGUCCCCUCGCACAGAGAUGCUGCCCCCGAAGGAGCUGGAAAAGGUGCCUGGGCCUGUGUGUUAACUCUCAAUUUUCCAGAGACAAGCUCCUCCCAGACACCCCACAAACCCGGGGCCUCAGCCAGGAAGAGUCCUCAGCAAGCAGUCUGUGAUUUGAACCCGCUCCCAUUUGAACACGAGUCCACAGCAGCAAAUUCCCUGUGACAUCAGCCCCAGGAUCAUCAUUGGCUCAGAACAGCGGCAUGAGGCCCCAAAGCUCAGAUGAGCGUGGCUUUGUGUUUGCUGGUGCCCCUCUCCUCCCAUAAACAUGCUUAAACUUUGUCGGUUAGGAAAUAAAAACAAAACCUCCUUUCAGGCCACGUACCCUAGAGCUAAUGGCCUCACCGCCUCCACUGUCUAGAUGAAACGUCUCAAAGGGAAAGCGUGCACUUCUUGUCUCAUUUCCUCCAUCCGUCGCUCAGCCCUAUAUUUCAGGAUCUCUCUCAGGCACCUGGUCUGCUCACCAUCCUGCCUUCUUCCUCUUCCCCACUCCCUCCACAGCAAGGGCUGCCUCUUCCUUAUUCCCCUACACCUCCCUAGCCUCUGUCUAUUCUAUAAAUGCUGGGGUCCUGCCCUCAGCUGACCGCUGUUUUGACUCGCACCCAAGAUUUUGGCCCAACCCUGUCCUCACGCUACAGACUAGGGUUGUUGUUGUUCGUUGCUGUCGAGUCCAACUCAUAGCGACCCCAUGCGUGCAGAGUAGAGCCACUCCAUAGGGUUUUCAAGGCUGUGACCUUUCAGGAGUUCUUACUUCAAAGGCAUCUCUAGGUAGGUUCAAACCACCAACCUUUUGGCUUGUAAGUGAGCACUUAAUCGUUUGUGCCACCUAGGGACUACUACUGACCCUUAUACCCAACUGAUUUCAGGAAAUGUGGGCUUGAAUGUCCCACCGACACCUCAAACUUAACCUGAAGGAGAGAAGCAGCCCCCUCCUCACUAGCAGGGCCUGCAGUCUCUACUCUGCGAAGCUGGAACCCAGGGUCCCCCUAACACCCUCACCCCAUGUCCAACCAGUCACCGAGUUCUGCUCAUGUCAUCUGCCUCCAGAACAUACCGUCAGUCCUCUCCAUUCCUGCCACUCUGCUGGAGGGAUAAUGGGAGGGGGCACACAAGAAAAGUAAAAGAUCAACCCCCUAACUUUACUAACAUCAGAUACAGGAAGAGAGAACACAGAAAAUAGCAAAUAAGUGGUACACGACUAUUUCUGAGAGCAGGUUUGGGAAAUGCGAAGUGGAUGGAGGAACAGCAAGGGCUCGGCAGACAUCACGAGGAGCCACCUGAGGCCCGGCCACGCUGGGAGGGGGUGCAGCAGAAACAGGCCUUUCCGCCCAGCGUGCUCCAAAUGCAGGCCUUCAGGGAAUCAGGAGAAUUCCUGCCAGCUGCUCUCCACCAAAAUGAGGGGAUCAAUCAGGAGAAAGGAGGAUCAAUCCCGGAAACAGGAAACUAGAGUUUUCUCCACUCAAGAAGGCUCCAGAAGAGAGGCGGGAAAGCACACCGGAAUGAGAUGAAAUCCACAGGCAGCACCAAAAUGCCAACCAUCAGGGUGCGACCCACUAGGAGGAGACCCCCAGCAAGAGACCUGAGGACCCUUGUUCGGAGAAAAGAAGAAGCAAAAGUAGAAAUGAUUCAGUAGGAGGAUUCAAAGAUAAAGUGGUAAUCUCCAUAAGAUAAAAACCAAACCCAUCGCCAUGGAGUCGAUUCCGACUUAUAGUGACCCUGUAGGACAGAGGAGAACUGCUCCAUAGGGUUUUCAAGGAGCGCCUGGUGGAUUCGAACUUUUGGUUAGCAGCUGAGCACUUUAACCACUACGCCACCAAGGUUUCCCCAAAAGAUAAGUAGGAACCAAAAGUCAAAUACAUGAAAACAGAAAAAGAAAAAAAAAAGAUAAAAUUAAAGCUCAAUCCAGGGGAAAGCCAUUGUUGAAAAAGAGAA